UGGGGAAUCUUCCGCAGUGGACGAAAGUCUGACGGAGCGACGCCGCGUGAGUGAAGAAGGCCUUCGGGUCGUAAAGCUCUGUCAUCAGGGACGAACGGCCGGUGGAGUGGAAAGCCACCGGAUUGACGGUACCUGAGAAGGAAGCCUCGGCUAACUACGUGCCAGCAGCCGCGGUAAAACGUAGGAGGCGAGCGUUAUCCGGAUUUACUGGGCGUAAAGCGCGUGCAGGCGGAUUGGAGAGUUGGAUGUGAAAGCUCCCGGCUUAACUGGGAGAGGUCGUUCAAUACUUCCAGUCUUGAGUGCAGUAGAGGGAAGUGGAAUUCCGGGUGUAGUGGUGAAAUGCGUAGAUAUCCGGAGGAACACCAGUGGCGAAAGCGGCUUCCUGGACUGUAACUGACGCUCAGACGCGAAAGCUAGGGUAGCAAACG
rnacentral:rRNA from 1 species